AGUGGAACUCUCAGGUCACAGAGAUUCAGGGUGGUCAGAGGCGGUUUGAUGUUUUGGGGAGAAAGAACAGCCGUGAAGGAUUCUGUGAUGCAGGAGAAGGUGGGAGGCCUCAGGACAGAAUCAGCAGGUCACCAUGCUUUCCUGCGUCAUCCACCUGUGGGCCUCUAAUGUGUUUCUAUGAAGUUUGCAUUAAAGUUUCAGCCACUAUUUUUCAGAAACAUGGUCAACCUCUCCUUCCCUCCUCUAUCUGCUGAUAGAGUUCUACAGAAAACAAGGGAAUGACUUGAGGAGGGGGAUUCUGAAGGUUGUUGGUGGAUUCCUAGAAUGUAGCCCGCAGAACUGUGCCUGGAACGAUACCGGAUCACUGCAAAAGUACAGCGAACAGGGUCGCUUUGAAUAUUAAAGGAGGACUUUUUCAAAGUGUAUAGAGAGCAGUCAAAAGAUCGCCACAGUUGCUCUGUGUUUUCGUGAGCCAGCUUUCUCGGAAGGACUAAGCCAGUGGAUCACAAACAUCCUGGAGAGCAGUGACUCUGUGAUUCCAUCACAAGAAUAUGAAGGACUGAGAAGAUCUCCAGCUCUGCCCAUUGCACCUUCCCAUUGAGAAGCAGCAUGGCACCCUGGUGGCAGGGGCUGAUACUCAGCCGGGCCAGGGUGCUCUCCUGUUAACCAUAACCAAGCUCACAGGACAUGGGAUGAGCCCACUGUGUGACACAGGGAGCGGGACACAGUCUGUUAAGUCUUGCACAGCCAUGCUCUGCCACGCAGGCAGGCCUUUCCUUGGCCUCCCUCUCCCUGUUCGUGCUCAUGUGAACAUCCACCUACGUGGAUAGACUGGGCUUUGGUUCAUUAUUGCUCUGUGAAUUCCUCGAACUUCCGCAUCUGCCCAACCUCCCCCACCCCAUUGUUUUCAUUGUGUUUCACCAAAUGGAAAUUCUAGAGUAAGCAUGUGAGUCCUCUCCCAAACUUGUUCACUGUUGAGAGUGCUAAAAUGCUAACCCCAGAUGCUAACUGAGGGGUAGGGUUACCUUAUCUUUAGAGCACUGCGAAUUGUAUGUUAAGUGGAACUUAAUGAAAAAAUAGUUAAUUGACCAACAUGAAUAUCCCCUGAACAGAAUCUCCCCUGAACAGAAUCCUACAAUGAAACUAAGGGAGAUAAAUAAAGCUGUUUACCUGAAAGCUCUCUCUAAUCAAGAUCCUUUGAAAUUUAUAAAACAUGGUCAAUAUUUGCACUGGACUUUGUAAAAAUAAAGCUUGAUAAGAGAAGAGUUUGAAGUGAAA
rnacentral:lncRNA from 1 species